GAUGAACGCUGACAGAAUGCUUAACACAUGCAAGUCAACUUGAACUUCGGUUUGUGUGGCGGCCGGGUGAGUAACGCGUAAAGAACUUGCCUCACAGAUAGGGACAACAUUUGGAAACGAAUGCUAAUACCUGAUAUUAUGAUUAUAUGGCAUCGUAUAAUUAUGAAAGCUAUAUGCGCUGUGAGAGAGCUUUGCGUCCCAUUAGCUAGUUGGAGAGGUAACGGCUCACCAAGGCGAUGAUGGAUAGACGGCCUGAGAGGGUGAUCGGCCACAAGGGGACUGAGACAGGGCCCUUACUCCUACGGGAGGCAGCAGGGGGGAAGAUUGGACAAUGGACCAAGAGUCUGAUCCAGCAAUUAUGUGUGCACGAUGAAGUUUUUCGGAAUGUAAAGUGCUUUCAGUUGGGAAGAAAAAAAUGACGGUACCAACAGAAGAAGUGACGGCUAAAUACGUG
rnacentral:rRNA from 1 species